rnacentral:rRNA from 1 species
UCGGGGAUCUUGCACAAUGGGCGAAAGCCUGAUGCAGCAACGCCGUGUGAGCGAGGAAGGCCUUAGGGUCGUAAAGCUCUGUUGUUGGGGACGAAGGGCGAAGGGUUAAUAGCCCCUAGCCUGACGGUACCCUUCGAGGAAGCCCCGGCUAACUACGUGCCAGCAGCCGCGGUAAUACGUAGGGGGCGAGCGUUGUCCGGAAUUAUUGGGCGUAAAGAGCGUGUAGGCGGCCUGGUAAGUCUGCCGUGUAAACCCGGGGCUCAACCCUGGGCGUGCGGUGGAUACUGCUAGGCUAGAGGAUGGUAGAGGCGAGUGGAAUUCCCGGUGUAGCGGUGAAAUGCGCAGAUAUCGGGAGGAACACCAGUAGCGAAAGCGCUCUACUGGGCCGGUACUGACACUCAGGGACGAAAGCUAGGGGAGCGAAAGGGAUUAGAUACCCCCGUAGUCC